UGUGGGAGCUGGCUUGCCUGCGAUCGCGCAGUGUCAGCAGCCUCAUUUGUCACUGCUAGACCGCUAUCGCAGGCAAGCCAGCUCCCACA
rnacentral:misc_RNA from 1 species